GAUGAACGCUGGCGGCGUGCCUAAUACAUGCAAGUCGAGCGAACAGAUGAGGAGCUUGCUCCUCUGACGUUAGCGGCGGACGGGUGAGUAACACGUGGAUAACCUACCUAUAAGACUGGGAUAACUUCGGGAAACCGGAGCUAAUACCGGAUAAUAUAUUGAACCGCAUGGUUCAAUAGUGAAAGACGGUUUUGCUGUCACUUAUAGAUGGAUCCGCGCCGCAUUAGCUAGUUGGUAAGGUAACGGCUUACCAAGGCAACGAUGCGUAGCCGACCUGAGAGGGUGAUCGGCCACACUGGAACUGAGACACGGUCCAGACUCCUACGGGAGGCAGCAGUAGGGAAUCUUCCGCAAUGGGCGAAAGCCUGACGGAGCAGCGCCGCGUGAGUGAUGAAGGUCUUCGGAUCGUAAAACUCUGUUAUUAGGGAAGAACAAAUGUGUACGUAACUAUGCACGUCUUGACGGUACCUAAUCAGAAAGCCACGGCUAACUACGUG
rnacentral:rRNA from 1 species